rnacentral:sRNA from 1 species
ACACGUUGUGGACGCGGCAGCCUCCAGGGACAGUGUUUCAUAAAGCCACACCUGUUGUUGCGAGUGAGCCAGUCACCAGACGUGCAGCAAAGUUCUGAGUGUGUGCAUGACCACGCGCCUGCUUUCUGACAAGCAGUUAAGAACAUCUCUGAGUGUCCUCAGAAACACUUGAUGACGUCGUUUCUCCUGGCACUGGGAAACAUCUACAAGUCUGGAUACCUGCCCACUAUGUCUAUCCGCAGGCUUUUGUGCAGCCGGGAGUGGUCAUUCCACAUGUCCAGCCGACAGCAGCUGCCGCCUCCACCACCCCUUACAUUGAUUACACUGGAGCUGCAUACGCACAAUACUCAGCAGCUGCUGCUGCCGCCGCCGCCGCUGCUGCCUAUGACCAGUACCCCUAUGCAGCCUCUCCAGCUGCUGCAGGAUAUGUUACUGCUGGGGGCUAUGGCUACGCAGUCCAGCAGCCAAUCACCGCAGCGGCACCUGGGACAGCUGCUGCUGCCGCUGCAGCAGCUGCUGCCGCUGCAGCAUUUGGCCAGUACCAGCCUCAGCAGCUGCAGACAGACCGAAUGCAAUAGACCAGCCAUCUGAUCAAAGUUGAAUUGUUUUCUCUUUCCCUCCCAAUUUUCCAAUUUUUAGUAGCUAAUAAGAGAGUUAACAUUGACUUAACAGCUUUAAAAAAAAAACAGCCAUGCUAUUGUGAAGCAGAGUUAUUAUUUUUUUUAUACUCCAGGUAGUGUUCUAGAUGAGAAAGAGGUAAGAAUGAGGGGAAUGGGCACAAUUUUGGAAAUCAAUCCCAAAGAGCCUGAGUAAAUGAAAGGCCACUACGAAAUGACGCCAGGAGUAACAACGGAACUUCACUUUUGUAACGGGAUUUUUAUUUUUGCUCUUUUUAUAGUAUCAGGGAAGCAAACUGCCUUUUACAAGUUAGAAAAUGCUGUUUGAAUCUAGUUGAACCAGGGAAUACAGAGCGAGCAAUAUGUAGCUUGAAUUACAUUUAAAAGCAGAUUUUUUACAAACAAAAUGGCGAAAGCACUGAUUGUCAUUUUUAGCAGUCACUUAAGGCCUAUAGAACUUUUUUCAAGUCGGAAGGUCCUGUUCUUACUAUCUCAAAAAUGGGCAUCGAACAAUCAAUCUAGGAGCGUGGCAGUGGGUAAAAUGGUGGACAGGCACCAAAGCUAUUUUCUCAUCUGUCCUGUGGAUGAGUGGAACUGUGGAACA